rnacentral:tRNA from 1 species
GGCAGUGUAGCUUAGUAUACAGUACACCAGACUGGGACUCAGGAGACCUGGGUGCUAAUCCCAGCUCUGCCA